GUGAAGACAUGAUCUCCAAACCCAGCUUUUUCAGGUAUCCUGGCAUCGGCAGAGUUCUCUUCCCCUCAUCUUUGGAAAGUUUCGCAAGCUGGGCCCCUCCUGUGUGUAGCCAACAAUGAUGUUUUGUGUCUUCAUCCCGUUUGAAGGGCCUGGCACACAAACAGCCCAGCCUAUUCAUUCCUAGAGCAAUUUUACAUAUGCAAGACCAAAGCCAAGAUUAAUGUCUUCAUCCUCGACGUGCUCAUUCAGACACGUUCUGGUUUUGCAGUGUGCUUGCAAGGAGCCCCUUAUUCAAGCAGACCAAGAAAACGUGAGACUUUCUACAUGUGUAUUCACUUCACAACCAACAUGUCAAUGCAUGGAUGGGUAGGUCCCUGUUGCUCAUUUGGGAGCAACCGUGUGUGUUACUGGGGCACAGCUUGACGU
rnacentral:lncRNA from 1 species